AUUGAACGCUGGCGGCAUGCCUUACACAUGCAAGUCGAACGGUAACGGGCCUUCGGGUGCCGACGAGUGGCGAACGGGUGAGUAAUACAUCGGAACGUGCCCGAUCGUGGGGGAUAACGAGGCGAAAGCUUUGCUAAUACCGCAUACGAUCUACGGAUGAAAGCAGGGGACCGCAAGGCCUUGCGCGGACGGAGCGGCCGAUGGCAGAUUAGGUAGUUGGUGGGAUAAAAGCUUACCAAGCCGACGAUCUGUAGCUGGUCUGAGAGGAUGAUCAGCCACACUGGGACUGAGACACGGCCCAGACUCCUACGGGAGGCAGCAGUGGGGAAUUUUGGACAAUGGGCGCAAGCCUGAUCCAGCCGCGCCGCGUGCAGGAUGAAGGCCUUCGGGUUGUAAACUGCUUUUGUACGGAACGAAAAGCCUUCUUUUAAUACAGGAGGGUCAUGACGGUACCGUAAGAAUAAGCACCGGCUAACUACGUG
rnacentral:rRNA from 1 species